AUGUUUAUAAAAUUAACAUUCUUCCAAAACUCAAAACUUUACAGAGAGAUCUAUCAGAAGUAUCACUUCAUUCUCUGUCACUCCACCCAUUUCUCAACAUCUUUUGUAGAUUUUAAAUCAACCUGUCAUUUUUCCCAAGAAAAGGUAAGAUUUUUGUGUUUGCUUUGAGUCUAUAAGGUGCUAUGGUGAAAAUUGAUUUCUUUAUAGUACUUGCAUCUUCCAAUACAUGAACAUAGCAGAUUUCUCCAUUUAUUUAGGCCUUCUUAAAUUUCUCUUAGUCAUAGUUUUCAUUGUAGAGGUCUUAUACAGCAUUUGCUAGAUUUUGCCCUAAGUAUUUGAUGCUACUAUAAAUUGUACUGCCUUUUUUAAGGAAUUUUUAUUUUAUUUUGGGAAAAUUUCAAACUGAAAAGUUGCAAGAAUAGUAUAAUCAAUUAAUGUAUACCAUUCAUCGAGGUUUACCUGUUAUUAAUAUUUUGCCACAUUAGCUUUAUCACUUUCUACUUGAUAAUGAUUUAGCAGAAUCAUUUAAGAUUAAAUUGCAGACAUUAUGACCCCUUUUCCUCUAAAUAAUUCCUAAAAAUGAGAACAUUCUCUUACCUAACCAUGGUACAGUGAUCAAAUUGAGAAUAUUUAAUAUUAGGCUUUUGUCAUUUUUUCCCCCUGUAAUAUCCAUUGUAGCAAUUUCCCCCAUCCAAGACUGCAUGUUGCAUUUAGUUGUUAGGACUCUUUAGUUACUUAUCAUUUGGAACAGUUUUUCAUUUUUUUUCUUUUAUU
rnacentral:lncRNA from 1 species